AGAGUUUGAUCAUGGCUCAGGACGAACGCUGGCGGCGUGCCUAAUACGUGCAAGUGGAACGCAAUUGAUUCUUCCGUAGCUUGCUACAUUUGAAUUGAUUGAGUCGCGAACGGGUGAGUAACGCGUAGGUAACCUACCUUAUAGCGGGGGAUAACUAUUGGAAACGAUAGCUAAUACCGCAUAGGAGUUGACAACACAUGUUGUUAAUUUAAAAGGAGCAACAGCUUCACUAUGAGAUGGACCUGCGUUGUAUUAGCUAGUUGGUAAGGUAACGGCUUACCAAGGCUUCGAUACAUAGCCGACCUGAGAGGGUGAUCGGCCACACUGGGACUGAGACACGGCCCAGACUCCUACGGGAGGCAGCAGUAGGGAAUCUUCGGCAAUGGGGGGAACCCUGACCGAGCAACGCCGCGUGAGUGAAGAAGGUUUUCGGAUCGUAAAGCUCUGUUAUAAGCGAAGAACGGGAGUAAGAGUGGAAAAUUUACUCUGUGACGGUAGCUUAUCAGAAAGGGACGGCUAACUACGUGCCAGCAGCCGCGGUAAUACGUAGGUCCCGAGCGUUGUCCGGAUUUAUUGGGCGUAAAGCGAGCGCAGGUGGUUUAAUAAGUCUGAAGUUAAAGGCAUUGGCUCAACCAAUGUACGCUUUGGAAACUGUUAAACUUGAGUGCAGAAGGGGAGAGUGGAAUUCCAUGUGUAGCGGUGAAAUGCGUAGAUAUAUGGAGGAACACCGGUGGCGAAAGCGGCUCUCUGGUCUGUAACUGACACUGAGGCUCGAAAGCGUGGGUAGCGAACAGGAUUAGAUACCCUGGUAGUCCACGCCGUAAACGAUGAGUGCUAGGUGUUGGGUCCUUUCCGGGACUCAGUGCCCGCAGCUAACGCAUUAAGCACUCCGCCUGGGGGAGUACGACCGCAAGGUUGAAACUCAAAGGAAUUUGACGGGGGCCCGCACAAGCGGUGGAGCAUGGUGGAUUAUCGGAGCACGCGAAGAAUCUUUACAAGUCCUGACAAUCCGAUGCCCGGUCUAGAGAAAUAAGAGUUUUACUUCGGCUACAUUCGUGAACGUGGUGCCAUGCAUUGUUCGAUUCG
rnacentral:rRNA from 1 species